AUUGAACGCUGGCGGCAUGCUCUACACAUGCAAGUCGAAUGGUAACAGGUUAAGCUGACGAGUGGCGAACGGGUGAGUAAUGCAUCGGAACGUGCCCGGUCGUGGGGGAUAACGCAGCGAAAGCUGCGCUAAUACCGCAUACGAUCUGAGGAUGAAAGCGGGGGACCGUAAGGCCUCGCGCGAUCGGAGCGGCCGAUGUCAGAUUAGGUAGUUGGUGGGGUAAAGGCUCACCAAGCCAACGAUCUGUAGCUGGUCUGAGAGGACGACCAGCCACACUGGGACUGAGACACGGCCCAGACUCCUACGGGAGGCGGCAGUGGGGAAUUUUGGACAAUGGGCGAAAGCCUGAUCCAGCAAAGCCGCGUGCAGGAAGAAGGCCUUCGGGUUGUAAACUGCUUUUGUACGGAGCGAAAAGGUCUCCUCUAAUACAGGGGGCUCAUGACGGUACCGUAAGAAUAAGCACCGGCUAACUACGUGCCAGCCGCCGCCGUAA
rnacentral:rRNA from 1 species